rnacentral:rRNA from 1 species
CACGUAGGGUGCGAGCGUUGUCCGGAAUUAUUGGGCGUAAAGAGCUCGUAGGCGGUUUGUCGCGUCGGAUGUGAAAACCCGGGGCUCAACUCCGGGCCUGCAUUCGAUACUGGCAGACUAGAGUUCGGUAGGGGAGUCUGGAAUUCCUGGUGUAGCGGUGAAAUGCGCAGAUAUCAGGAGGAACACCGGUGGCGAAGGCGGGACUCUGGGCCGAUACUGACGCUGAGGAGCGAAAGCGUGGGGAGCAAACAGG